rnacentral:tRNA from 1 species
GGAGGAUAUGCUCACUGGUAGAGUGCAUGCCUAGCAUGCAUGAGGUCCUAGGGUUCAGUCCCCAGUACCUCCG